rnacentral:lncRNA from 15 species
UAAUUCCUUCUAGGGCAUGUCUACUCAUGCUCGAGUGAAAACCUGACACCACACGAUCUGGAGUUUCUUUUCAAAUGCAGAGGAUGUGCUCGCUGAGUGUUCUUCCACACAACACAUCCUCUAGAGCUCCAACACAUUAAAUGAAGCCAAACCCAAACAGAAGCACCAGAGAAAGCUACAGUGGAUGAAAGACAUUUAUGAGAGCGCCAUGAUCAAAGUGAUGAGUUUCUACUCUGGUGUGAGGGCACGGCAUGUUUAUGGCUGGGUUUCCAUCAUCUGGUUCAUUUCGGCAGUCAGGAUCGCUGUCAGUGAAGAUGUGCCCCUGCAGACCGUUUCCGAGGUGGUGGCACAGUGCGGAGAAAAUGUGACACUGCCAUGUGGGGUCACCAUGCAAAGCCAGUUGGAUAUUAAAUUAUUUUCCUGGGUGCGUGGAAAUAAAUUGUGUACAUACGAGGACAGUCAGCUUGACCCUGAGGUUCUGUGUGAAAGCACGGAAGACACUCCCAACCACAGACUCAGUAUGACUCUACUAAAUGUGAUGCCAGUCGACCAGGGAGAGUACUUCUGCAAACUACGUUCCAAAGUGGGUGUAGGUUUUGCCAAAACUUUAGUUACAGUACAAGACUGCUUUGAAAAUUCUAAGUCCUACAUCCAAAAGACUCAUGCUACGUGCCAGUUCAGGGGAGUUUACCCCAGUGGCACCGUCCACUGGUUCCAGGGAGAUGUUAACUUAACAGACUCUGCCAUCACACAGGAAGAGGAGGACCAGUAUGGACGGUACGAUGUCAUGAGUACAAUAGAUGUCCAGAAAGGAAAAAGCGAGCCCUACAGAUGCUCACUGUGGAUACCUUCUGUCGGGAAGAAUCUGCACGCUCAAGAGCUACCUAUGGUUAAGGCACUGGAGUCAUCAGGAAGCAUGAGGGAGGCAGUCUUCACAUACAAGAAUCCUAACUGAUUUACUGCUUUUACUCAACUCUUGCAUUGUGUAAAUGUAGAGGAGAGGUCCAUUCAGUACUCUAAAUUCAUUCCAAAUACAUGUUCACCGAAGGAGAGGAAACGUGCCCACUUUAGUACUUAGGCAACAAAAGAAAAAAAAAGGAUUUAAGAUCCUUUAUGCAGACAUGAUUUAUGUGAGUGGCUUAUCAGUUAACUGAAGGGCAACAGGCACAUCUAAAAUCUACAAUACAGGGAUCAAAUAAACAGAUUAGGGACACAAUGAUUAUAAUAAAUUGAUUGAUUGUAUGAUUAUCUUUUUUUGUUUUGUUUACCAUUUUCCAAGAUGUUUUUGAAAUUCAGCUACUGUUGAUCUAUACAAAAUGUUGUAUAGUAUAUUGAGGGAUGUUUGGUUUUUAAAAUCUGCUUUGUAAUUAUUCUCAAUAAAAGUGUAAAAUAUAACACAUUUCAUGCAGGUAUGCUUUGUGAUAAUAUGUCAUAUAAACCCCUCCUACAAAAGAACUAAGUGAGCACUGUUAAUGUGUGAACACCGGCUCUUCUGACUAGAUGUGUUGGCUCAUGUAUGGUGAGACUGUGUGUCUGUGAUAAGUUUAUUUUGUUAUACAAGUUCAGACAUCUGUAUACUCCUCACUGUACGUCACUGCAAUUGUUGCUGCCUUCAGAGAUGUUCAGGCAUGCAGUCCUUCAGGCAAACCACAGUGUUGCCACAGUAUCUCACCUGGUAGAGCGGGCACCCCGCAUGUACAAACGCCAGGUCAAGUAAAGGUGACCACAAAACUGCUGAAUGUGCUUUGUAAUUUCUCUGCUCGGUGGUGCAAGUCUCAAAUUACGGCCAGAUUAUGCUCAAGUGGGUGUUAAGUAAACAGUAACGAAUGGUCUGUUUUGUUUUCUUUGCCACUUUAUUGGUAUGCAUUUCAUCAGAUAUUACCAUCCAAAUUCGGAAGAUCUGAUAAAGUCUUGUGUAUGAGUGGUACAACAUUCAGUGGAUAGUUUACAUUUAAGUGCAAGAGAUGAGCCACUGAGAUAAAAUUGCGGUAAAUAUAAAUAUCCUAAGCCUAGCAAGCAAGGGCAUGUGCAGGUAUUGUGUUGCACAAUUACGUUUUCAUGUGUGGUUUUCAUAACUGCAAAGGUGGUUAUUAGAAACAAAGCCAUUAAAAGAAACCUAAACACAAGGCUCAAACUGAAGAAAGUAAAAACCGACGCAUGCAACACAG